rnacentral:rRNA from 1 species
UACGAAGGGUGCAAGCGUUACUCGGAAUUACUGGGCGUAAAGCGUGCGUAGGUGGUUUGUUAAGUCGGGUGUGAAAGCCCCGGGCUCAACCUGGGAAUUGCAUUCGAGACUGCAUUGCUGGAGUACGGAAGAGGAAGGCGGAAUUCCCGGUGUAGCGGUGAAAUGCGUAGAUAUCGGGAGGAACAUCAGUGGCGAAGGCGGCCUUCUGGUCCAGUACUGACACUCAAGUGCGAAAGCGUGGGGAGCAAACAGG